GACGAACGCUGGCGGCGUGCUUAACACAUGCAAGUCGAACGGAAAGGCCCUGCUUUUGUGGGGUGCUCGAGUGGCGAACGGGUGAGUAACACGUGAGUAACCUGCCCUUGACUUUGGGAUAACUUCAGGAAACUGGGGCUAAUACCGGAUAGGAGCUCCUGCUGCACGGUGGGGGUUGGAAAGUUUCGGCGGUUGGGGAUGGACUCGCGGCUUAUCAGCUUGUUGGUGGGGUAGUGGCUUACCAAGGCUUUGACGGGUAGCCGGCCUGAGAGGGCGACCGGCCACAUUGGGACUGAGAUACGGCCCAGACUCCUACGGGAGGCAGCAGUGGGGAAUAUUGCACAAUGGGCGGAAGCCUGAUGCAGCAACGCCGCGUGCGGGAUGACGGCCUUCGGGUUGUAAACCGCUUUCGCCUGUGACGAAGCGUGAGUGACGGUAAUGGGUAAAGAAGCACCGGCUAACUACGUG
rnacentral:rRNA from 1 species